GUUUAUGGCCAUGCUACCUUGAACAAGCCCGAUCCUGCCUGAUCUCGGAAGCUCAGCUGGGUCGGGCCUGGUUAGUACUUGGAUGGGAGACCACCUAAGAAGACCAGGUGCUGUACGCA
rnacentral:rRNA from 1 species